CUACCGAUUGAAUGGCUCAGUGAGGCGUCCGGACUGGCCCAGAGAGGUGGGCAACUACCACUCAGGGCCGGAAAGCUCUCCAAACUCGGUCAUUUAGAGGAAGUAAAAGUCGUAACAAGGUCUCCGUUGGUGAACCAGCGGAGGGAUCAUUACCGAGUUUACAACUCCCAAACCCCUGUGAACAUACCACUUGUUGCCUCGGCGGAUCAGCCCGCUCCCGGUAAAACGGGACGGCCCGCCAGAGGACCCCUAAAACUCUGUUUCUAUAUGUAACUUCUGAGUAAAACCAUAAAUAAAUCAAAACUUUCAACAACGGAUCUCUUGGUUCUGGCAUCGAUGAAGAACGCAGCAAAAUGCGAUAAGUAAUGUGAAUUGCAGAAUUCAGUGAAUCAUCGAAUCUUUGAACGCACAUUGCGCCCGCCAGUAUUCUGGCGGGCAUGCCUGUUCGAGCGUCAUUUCAACCCUCAAGCACAGCUUGGUGUUGGGACUCGCGUUAAUUCGCGUUCCUCAAAUUGAUUGGCGGUCACGUCGAGCUUCCAUAGCGUAGUAGUAAAACCCUCGUUACUGGUAAUCGUCGCGGCCACGCCGUUAAACCCCAACUUCUGAAUGUUGACCUCGGAUCAGGUAGGAAUACCCGCUGAACUUAAG
rnacentral:rRNA from 1 species